GCCAGUCUGCAUGGAGCCGGCCUUGAAAUACCACCCUUUAAUGUUUGAUGUUCUAACGUGGACCCGUGAUCCGGGUUGCGGACAGUGUCUGGUGGGUAGUUUGACUGGGGCGGUCUCCUCCUAAAGAGUAACGGAGGAGCACGAAGGUUGGCUAAUCCUGGUCGGACAUCAGGAGGUUAGUGCAAUGGCAUAAGCCAGCUUGACUGCGAGCGUGACGGCGCGAGCAGGUGCGAAAGCAGGUCAUAGUGAUCCGGUGGUUCUGAAUGGAAGGGCCAUCGCUCAACGGAUAAAAGGUACUCCGGGGAUAACAGGCUGAUACCGCCCAAGAGUUCAUAUCGACGGCGGUGUUUGGCACCUCGAUGUCGGCUCAUCACAUCCUGGGGCUGAAGUAGGUCCCAAGGGUAUGGCUGUUCGCCAUUUAAAGUGGUACGCGAGCUGGGUUUAGAACGUCGUGAGACAGUUCGGUCCCUAUCUGCCGUGGGCGCUGGAGAACUGAGGGGGGCUGCUCCUAGUACGAGAGGACCGGAGUGGACGCAUCACUGGUGUUCGGGUUGUCAUGCCAAUGGCACUGCCCGGUAGCUAAAUGCGGAAGAGAUAAGUGCUGAAAGCAUCUAAGCACGAAACUUGCCCCGAGAUGAGUUCUCCCUGACCCUUUAAGGGUCCUGAAGGAACGUUGAAGACGACGACGUUGAUAGGCCGGGUGUGUAAGCGCAGCGAUGCGUUGAGCUAACCGGUACUAAUGAACCGUGAGGCUUAACCUUACAACGCCGAAG
rnacentral:rRNA from 1 species